GGAUAGGACCUAAAGUAAGCAGACCUUUGGAAUGCUUCCAUACAGGUUACAUAAGGUUUUGAAACUUUAUUCACUCCGUACCUAUUCAGAUCUACUAAAGUUGCCUUUUGAUCCAAACUGUCGUUAUCUGUGUCCACUGGGUGCUAAAGAUAAACAAAACUUGCAGAUUGAGCCCUGGUACGGGAAAAAAUAUUUAGCCAAAGACUUUCCUAUUGCUGCCCAAAAAUUAGUAGAUAAAAGCAACUGUUUUUGUGGUUUCUCCCCUACAUGCUCCUAUUCCUUUAAUUCUGGGA